UCCUCAGUAGCUCAGCGGUAGUAGCAUUCGGCUGUUAACCGAAGGGUCGUAGGUUCAAAUCCUACCUGGGGAGCCA
rnacentral:tRNA from 2 species